GUCCACGCCGUAAACGAUGUCAACUAGCCGUUGGGGAACUUGAUUCUUUAGUGGCGCAGCUAACGCGAUAAGUUGACCGCCUGGGGAGUACGGCCGCAAGGUUAAAACUCAAAUGAAUUGACGGGGGCCCGCACAAGCGGUGGAGCAUGUGGUUUAAUUCGAUGCAACGCGAAGAACCUUACCAGGGCUUGACAUCCUCGGAACUUUCUAGAGAUAGAUUGGUGCCUUCGGGAACCGAGUGAC
rnacentral:rRNA from 1 species